GCGGCGGGCCCAUCGAUGGGCGGGAGAUUCUACUGAGAGGACGCACAUCUACAGCGUGGCUUCCAUUACAGCCGGCGAGAAGGACAGAAACGGGGCAAGACAAUGUGCAGGAUCACUUGUCGACUGCGGUGAUGGAGUUCCCGGGAUGACAGUUUAAAGUAGCGGCAUUUUGGAGAAGACGGAGAAAGUCACAGGAGAGGGGGAGGCGAAGGAAGUAAGAGGUGACGGCAUCGGAUGAGGUUUUCAUACGGAUGUCGAGGACACGGGCAUGGAGGCUGGGGCUCCAGAAUCAGCAAAGAAUCGCCGUGGUGACGCCACAUGGAGUGGACAGCCACACAAGUACAGGGACAAGUGGUGAAGCCAACCGGGUGAGAUGCAGAGAAGCACGAGGUGUCCCAGUUGACGGGAGGGCUGAGACCAGGAGCCACCAGCCCCAAACACGUAGCACCCAGGCGCAAGAUGCAACGGGGGAACGAGUCGCCUCCACUGGGGAGGACCCCAAGGCAGAGGAUUCUGGGAGAAGAGUCUGAGGACAUGGGGAAGGUGGAUGGGAGCACGGGGCGUCAAGGGCAGCAUUUGGGGGGGUGUCUGCGGUCACAGGCAUGGAUGUGUGCGAGGGAACGAGUGACUGCGAGGUCGUGCUUUGAGUGGCGGCGGUACGGAAAGGGGGCAGCGUGGGGCGCACGGGCUGGUCAUCUUGCUGGAGAAGGACCUGUCCCGGACCUCUCCCUGGACUGACAAAUAAUCUGACAUCCUUCAUUCACCUCCAUCCUUCAUUCUCGCAGAGUUACCUGACAGACCCUCUCCUGCAUUUUCCGGAAUGUUCUGUUGAUGUGAAUGAGGUCACUCUGAGAUGGCUGGUUCUUCAUUAACUGCUGUUUCUCCUAUAGACCUGUCUCACCCGUCAUUUUAGCCAUCUGUCCUGGCCUCGUGCUGAUGACGACCAUUGAGUUCUCUGCUCUGGGAUGGGAAGACUGCCGUCUCCGGCUGGUGAUUGCCCUGCCGCCACAGGCCUUCCUUGGACCACAUCAUUGGGUCUGACUUUCCAAUACGUGUCUCUCUGGGUGGAUGAAACUCCCCAUCAUUUUCUAAGCUGGACUCACCUCACCAAGCGAAACAGGUAAAAUCAUGUUAUCACCUACAUCACGAUGUGACGCGUCCUGCUCACGGAACUGCUCGUAGCCGAUGGAUGCCUAUGGCGACAUAUAUCGAUCAAAACACCCUUUCCCAAUCAUGCGAUCGUGGGAACCGGACUUAUUCCAUAUACAGCACCUUUUUUGUAUUAUACCCCAGGUCACGGGGGAGGCAAUUUCCUCUGCAGGAGGGGUCAUGUCUCUAUGGGACUGACAGUGCACCUUGUACACGGGGUUCAAUUCACAUGAGCUGAGACCACUUUUUAAAUCCAAAGAAUGAACACACGUAUUGACUCCAUUAGGAAGCCCAAAACAUGCUUCACUAAGUUGCCAACAUCAAACAGAGACACAGCCUCGAAGAGGAGUUAGCUCGUAAUCUAGGCCACAGCGGGCCCUCAGUGUGUUGCCUAAGAACGCACGGCCUCCGGGAGGGCCUCGCUUCCUUCCCACCUGAGCCACUAAACAUGCGUCUUGUUUUCUCCUCCAGUCUCCCUCUUGGUUGCUCCAAAUUUCUUCAGGGGAGAAAUAUGAAAAAGAAAAGCAGCGCCACCUAGCCUGUGAGGUCAAAGGACAAGGGCUUUGUCUAGAAGCACGCAAAGCUCUAGUUAACUUUGAUGACAGUCCAGAGAGCCUGGCAGCUUCCAAUUUCUUUUCUGCGAUUCAAUUAAGCUAAUGUGUACAUUUGUGCUUUAAGGUGUUCAUUUUUUUCUACACAAGAGAAAAAUAAAAGGAGCCUGGGAAAAAUUCUGAGAGCACAAAAUCUAACAGACAAAUGGAAUCAUUCAGCAUGAUUUCCUCAGGGACCGGCUCACAUUUCUCACAGACGGCUGGGCUGGAGCUUGAUUUUUCAUAAGAGAUGAGGGUAACAUCUGGAGAACGGCCACAUCCCCCCCAAAAGUGGGGUAAGUUUAACUCGAUCAUAAAUAACAGACACUGAAAUGCCCCUCACAGGUACAGCAAUCUUAAAUAGUAAUAAGGCAGUUGUUGGUAACAUACACUAGGUAGCCAAGGUGAUUCAAGGUCAGUUUUUUCUUCCAGAAGCUUCUGCAGAUAAUCAGCAUCUCCCAACCACCCACCUGAUCCUGUCCAAAAGCGAUGCCCUGACACUUGCAAGUUACUGAUGAAAUGCAGCUUGGUUUGCUACGGACAUAUGUUUUAUAAAAUGCACUUGUAGGGGCGCCUGGGUGGCUCCGUCGGUCAAGCAUCUGAAUUCGGUUCAGGUCAUGAUCUCGUGGUUUAUGAGUUCGAGCCCCACGUCAGACUCUGUGCUCACAGCUCGGAGACUGAAGCCUGCUUCGGAUUCUGUGUCCCCCUCUCUC